rnacentral:rRNA from 1 species
AGAGUUUGAUCCUGGCUCAGGGUGAACGCUGGCGGCGCGCUUAAUGCAUGCAAGUCGAGCGAGAAGCCGGCUUCGGCCGGUAGAGAGCGGCAGACGGCUGAGUAACGCGUGAGCAACUUGCCCUCCGGUGGGGUAUACACUCGGGAAACUGAGGAUAAUCCCGCAUACGACCCGGUCCCCUUGGGGAUCAGGUGAAAGGCUUCGGUCGCCGGAGGAGAGGCUCGCGUCCUAUCAGGUAGUUGGUGGGGUAAAAGCCUACCAAGCCGAUGACGGGUAGCUGGUCUGAGAGGAUGACCAGCCAGAGGGGGACUGAGACACGGCCCCCACUCCUACGGGAGGCAGCAGCAGGGAAUCUUGGGCAAUGGGCGAAAGCCUGACCCAGCGACGUCGCGUGGAGGACGAAGGCCUUCGGGUUGUAAACUCCUUUUCCGAGGGAAGAUUUCGGACGGUACCUCGGGAAUAAGCCCCGGCUAACUACGUGCCAGCAGCCGCGGUAAUACGUAGGGGGCAAGCGUUACCCGGAAUUACUGGGCGUAAAGUGCGCGUAGGCGGUUGGAUAAGUCUCUUGUGAAAGCUCCCGGCUCAACUGGGAGAGGUCAAGGGAUACUAUUCGACUAGAGGACAGCAGAGGUAAGCGGAAUUCCCGGUGUAGCGGUGGAAUGCGUAGAUAUCGGGAGGAACACCAGCGGCGAAAGCGGCUUACUGGGCUGUAGCUGACGCUGAGGCGCGAGAGCGUGGGGAGCAAACUGGAUUAGAUACCCAGGUAGUCCACGCCCUAAACGAUGGAUACUAGGUAUGGGGGGUAUUGACCCCCUCCGUGCCGUAGCUAACGCGUUAAGUAUCCCGCCUGGGGACUACGGCCGCAAGGCUAAAACUCAAAGGAAUUGACGGGGGCCCGCACAAGCGGUGGAGCGUGUGGUUUAAUUCGAUGCUAAGCGAAGAACCUUACCUGGGCUUGACAUGUUGGUAGUAGCGCGCCGAAAGGCGUCGCGAUCCCGGGGUAACUCGGGAAGCCUUCACAGGUGCUGCAUGGCUGUCGUCAGCUCGUG